AGCAACGCCGCGUGAGUGAUGAAGGUUUUCGGAUCGUAAAGCUCUGUUGUUAGGGAAGAACAAGUGCGAGAGUAACUGCUCGCACCUUGACGGUACCUAACCAGAAAGCCACGGCUAACUACGUGCCAGCAGCCGCGGUAAUACGUAGGUGGCAAGCGUUGUCCGGAAUUAUUGGGCGUAAAGGGCUCGCAGGCGGUUUCUUAAGUCUGAUGUGAAAGCCCCCGGCUCAACCGGGGAGGGUCAUUGGAAACUGGGAAACUUGAGUGCAGAAGAGGAGAGUGGAAUUCCACGUGUAGCGGUGAAAUGCGUAGAGAUGUGGAGGAACACCAGUGGCGAAGGCGACUCUCUGGUCUGUAACUGACGCUGAGGAGCGAAAGCGUGGGGAGCGAACAGGAUUAGAUACCCUGGUAGUCCACGCCGUAAACGAUGAGUGCUAAGUGUUAGGGGGUUUCCGCCCCUUAGUGCUGCAGCUAACGCAUUAAGCACUCCGCCUGGGGAGUACGGUCGCAAGACUGAAACUCAAAGGAAUUGACGGGGGCCCGCACAAGCGGUGGAGCAUGUGGUUUAAUUCGAAGCAACGCGAAGAACCUUACCAGGUCUUGACAUCCUCUGACAACCCUAGAGAUAGGGCUUUCCCUUCGGGGACAGAGUGACAGGUGGUGCAUGGUUGUCGUCAGCUCGUGUCGUGAGAUGUUGGGUUAAGUCCCGCAACGAGCGCAACCCUUGAUCUUAGUUGCCAGCAUUCAGUUGGGCACUCUAAGGUGACUGCCGGUGACAAACCGGAGGAAGGUGGGGAUGACGUCAAAUCAUCAUGCCCCUUAUGACCUGGGCUACACACGUGCUACAAUGGACAGAACAAAGGGCUGCAAGACCGCAAGGUUUAGCCAAUCCCAUAAAUCUGUUCUCAGUUCGGAUCGCAGUCUGCAACUCGACUGCGUGAAGCUGGAAUCGCUAGUAAUCGCGGAUCAGCAUGCCGCGGUGAAUACGUUCCCGGGCCUUGUACACACCGCCCGUCACACCACGAGAGUUUGCAACACCCGAAGUCGG
rnacentral:rRNA from 1 species